rnacentral:rRNA from 1 species
AUACGGAGGGUGCGAGCGUUGUCCGGAAUGAUUGGGCGUAAAGGGCGCGUAGGCGGCCCGGUAAGUCUGGAGUGAAAGUCCUGCUUUUAAGGUGGGAAUUGCUUUGGAUACUGUCGGGCUUGAGUGCAGGAGAGGUAAGUGGAAUUCCCAGUGUAGCGGUGAAAUGCGUAGAGAUUGGGAGGAACACCAGUGGCGAAGGCGGCCUGCUGGACGACAACUGACGCUGAGGCGCGAAAGCGUGGGGAGCAAACAGGAUUAGAUACCCUGGUAGUCCACGCCGUAAACGAUGAGUGCUAGGUGUUAGGCCCUUUCCGGGGCUUAGUGCCGCAGCUAACGCAUUAAGUACUCCGCCUGGGAAGUACGCUCGCAAGAGUGAAACUCAAAUGAAUUGACGGGG